rnacentral:rRNA from 1 species
UACGGAGGGGGCAAGCGUUAUUCGGAAUUAUUGGGCGUAAAGGGCGCGUAGGCGGCUAGAUGUGUCAAAGGUGAAAUCCCUCGGCUCAACUGAGGAACUGCCUUUGAAACUGUCUGGCUUGAGGCCGGGAGAGGGUAGCGGAAUUCCCAGUGUAGCGGUGAAAUGCGUAGAUAUUGGGAGGAACACCAGUGGCGAAGGCAGCUCGCUGGGACGGUACUGACGCUGAGGCGCGAAAGCGUGGGGAGCAAACAGG